AGUGAACGCUGGCGGUAGGCCUAACACAUGCAAGUCGAACGGCAGCACAGUAAGAGCUUGCUCUUACGGGUGGCGAGUGGCGGACGGGUGAGGAAUACAUCGGAAUCUACUUUUUCGUGGGGGAUAACGUGGGGAAACUUACGCUAAUACCGCAUACGACCUACGGGUGAAAGCAGGGGAUCUUCGGACCUUGCGCGAUUGAAUGAGCCGAUGUCGGAUUAGCUAGUUGGCGGGGUAAAGGCCCACCAAGGCGACGAUCCGUAGCUGGUCUGAGAGGAUGAUCAGCCACACUGGAACUGAGACACGGUCCAGACUCCUACGGGAGGCAGCAGUGGGGAAUAUUGGACAAUGGGCGCAAGCCUGAUCCAGCCAUACCGCGUGGGUGAAGAAGGCCUUCGGGUUGUAAAGCCCUCUUGUUGGGAAAGAAAAGCAGCAGGUUAAUACCCCGCUGUUCUGACGGUACCCAAAGAAUAAGCACCGGCUAACUUCGUG
rnacentral:rRNA from 1 species